rnacentral:rRNA from 1 species
AACGAACGCUGGCGGCGUGCUUAACACAUGCAAGUCGAGCGAGAAAGGUACCUUCGGGUACUGAGUAAAGCGGCGAACGGGUGAGUAACACGUGAGUAACGUGCCCUUCAAUGGGGGAUAACAGUUUGAAAAGACUGCUAAUACCGCAUAAGACCACGACUCCUUAGGGAGAUGGGGUAAAAGGCUUCGGCCGUUGAAGGAUCGGCUCGCGGCCCAUUAGAUAGUUGGUGAGGUAAUGGCUCACCAAGUCUGAGAUGGGUAGCUGGUCUGAGAGGAUGAUCAGCCACACUGGGACUGAGACACGGCCCAGACUCCUACGGGAGGCAGCAGUGGGGAAUCUUGCGCAAUGGACGAAAGUCUGACGCAGCAACGCCGCGUGUGUGAUGAAGGCUUUCGGGUCGUAAAGCACUGUCAGGAGGGAAGAA